CAGGAUGAACGCUAGCGACAGGCCUAACACAUGCAAUGUCGAGGGGUAGCAGGARGUAGGAAUACUUCGCUGACGACCGGCGCACGGGUGAGUAACACGUAUGCAACCUACCUUCUACAGGGGAAUAGCCCGGAGAAAUUCGGAUUAAUACCCCAUAACGCAGGGAUACCGCAUGGUAAUAUUUGCUAAAGAUUAAUCGGUAGAAGAUGGGCAUGCGUUCCAUUAGCCAGUUGGUGAGGUAACGGCUCACCAAAGCUACGAUGGAUAGGGGAACUGAGAGGUUUAUCCCCCACACUGGAACUGAGACACGGUCCAGACUCCUACGGGAGGCAGCAGUGAGGAAUAUUGGUCAAUGGACGAGAGUCUGAACCAGCCAAGUCGCGUGAAGGAUGACGGCCCUACGGGUUGUAAACUUCUUUUGUAUGGGAGUAAAAAGGACUACGUGUAGUCUAUUGCAA
rnacentral:rRNA from 1 species